rfam:Oryza nivara chromosome 6, whole genome shotgun sequence.
AAUAAGUGUAGUUUUUACACUGUUUAUGUCUAACGUUUGACCAUUCGUCUUAUUUAAAAAAAUAUGUUUAGUAUUUUUGUUGUUAUUAGAUGAUAAAACAUGAAUAGUACUUUAUGUGUGACUAUUUUUUUUUAAUUUUUUCAUACAUUUUUCAAAUAAGACGGAUGGUCAAAACAUUGGACACGGAUAUCUAUGGUUGCACUUAGG